rnacentral:rRNA from 1 species
GACGAACGCUGGCGGCGUGCUUAACACAUGCAAGUCGAACGAUGAUCUCCCAGCUUGCUGGGGGGGAUUAGUGGCGAACGGGUGAGUAACACGUGAGUAACCUGCCCUGGACUCUGGGAUAACCCCGAGAAAUCGGAGCUAAUACCGGUUAGGACCCUGUACCGCAUGGUGUGGGGUGGAAAGUUUUUUCGGUUUGGGAUGGACUCGCGGCCUAUCAGCUUGUUGGUGAGGUAAUGGCUCACCAAGGCGUCGACGGGUAGCCGGCCUGAGAGGGUGACCGGCCACACUGGGACUGAGACACGGCCCAGACUCCUACGGGAGGCAGCAGUGGGGAAUAUUGCACAAUGGGCGCAAGCCUGAUGCAGCAACGCCGCGUGCGGGAUGACGGCCUUCGGGUUGUAAACCGCUUUUAGUAAGGAAGAAGGGGAGCUUGCUCCUUGACGGUACUUGCAGAAAAAGGACCGGCUAACUACGUGCCAGCCGCCGCAGUAAAAC